rnacentral:rRNA from 1 species
GAUUAAGUUAUUAAGGGCGCACGGUGGAUGCCUUGGCACUAGAAGCCGAUGAAGGACGUUACUAACGACGAUAUGCUUUGGGGAGCUGUAAGUAAGCUUUGAUCCAGAGAUUUCCGAAUGGGGAAACCCAGCAUGAGUUAUGUCAUGUUAUCGAUAUGUGAAUACAUAGCAUAUCAGAAGGCACACCCGGAGAACUGAAACAUCUUAGUACCCGGAGGAAGAGAAAGAAAAUUCGAUUCCCUUAGUAGCGGCGAGCGAAACGGGAAGAGCCCAAACCAACAAGCUUGCUUGUUGGGGUUGUAGGACACUCUAUACGGAGUUACAAAGGACGACAUUAGACGAAUCAUCUGGAAAGAUGAAUCAAAGAAGGUAAUAAUCCUGUAGUCGAAAAUGUUGUCUCUCUUGAGUGGAUCCUGAGUACGACGGAGCACGUGAAAUUCCGUCGGAAUCUGGGAGGACCAUCUCCUAAGGCUAAAUACUCUCUAGUGACCGAUAGUGAACCAGUACCGUGAGGGAAAGGUGAAAAGCACCCCGGAAGGGGAGUGAAAUAGAACCUGAAACCGUGUGCUUACAAGUAGUCAGAGCCCGUUAAUGGGUGAUGGCGUGCCUUUUGUAGAAUGAACCGGCGAGUUACGAUUUGAUGCAAGGUUAAGCAGUAAAUGUGGAGCCGUAGCGAAAGCGAGUCUGAAUAGGGCGUUUAGUAUUUGGUCGUAGACCCGAAACCAGGUGAUCUACCCUUGGUCAGGUUGAAGUUCAGGUAACACUGAAUGGAGGACCGAACCGACUUACGUUGAAAAGUGAGCGGAUGAACUGAGGGUAGCGGAGAAAUUCCAAUCGAACCUGGAGAUAGCUGGUUCUCUCCGAAAUAGCUUUAGGGCUAGCCUCAAGUGAUGAUUAUUGGAGGUAGAGCACUGUUUGGACGAGGGGCCCCUCUCGGGUUACCGAAUUCAGACAAACUCCGAAUGCCAAUUAAUUUAACUUGGGAGUCAGAACAUGGGUGAUAAGGUCCGUGUUCGAAAGGGAAACAGCCCAGACCACCAGCUAAGGUCCCAAAAUAUAUGUUAAGUGGAAAAGGAUGUGGCGUUGCCCAGACAACUAGGAUGUUGGCUUAGAAGCAGCCAUCAUUUAAAGAGUGCGUAAUAGCUCACUAGUCGAGUGACACUGCGCCGAAAAUGUACCGGGGCUAAACAUAUUACCGAAGCUGUGGAUUGUCCUUUGGACAAUGGUAGGAGAGCGUUCUAAGGGCGUUGAAGCAUGAUCGUAAGGACAUGUGGAGCGCUUAGAAGUGAGAAUGCCGGUGUGAGUAGCGAAAGACGGAUGAGAAUCCCGUCCACCGAUUGACUAAGGUUUCCAGAGGAAGGCUCGUCCGCUCUGGGUUAGUCGGGUCCUAAGCUGAGGCCGACAGGCGUAGGCGAUGGAUAACAGGUUGAUAUUCCUGUACCACCUAUAAUCGUUUUAAUCGAUGGGGGGACGCAGUAGGAUAGGCGAAGCGUGCGAUUGGAUUGCACGUCUAAGCAGUAAGGCUGAGUAUUAGGCAAAUCCGGUACUCGUUAAGGCUGAGCUGUGAUGGGGAGAAGACAUUGUGUCUUCGAGUCGUUGAUUUCACACUGCCGAGAAAAGCCUCUAGAUAGAAAAUAGGUGCCCGUACCGCAAACCGACACAGGUAGUCAAGAUGAGAAUUCUAAGGUGAGCGAGCGAACUCUCGUUAAGGAACUCGGCAAAAUGACCCCGUAACUUCGGGAGAAGGGGUGCUCUUUAGGGUUAACGCCCAGAAGAGCCGCAGUGAAUAGGCCCAAGCGACUGUUUAUCAAAAACACAGGUCUCUGCUAAACCGUAAGGUGAUGUAUAGGGGCUGACGCCUGCCCGGUGCUGGAAGGUUAAGAGGAGUGGUUAGCUUCUGCGAAGCUACGAAUCGAAGCCCCAGUAAACGGCGGCCGUAACUAUAACGGUCCUAAGGUAGCGAAAUUCCUUGUCGGGUAAGUUCCGACCCGCACGAAAGGCGUAACGAUUUGGGCACUGUCUCAACGAGAGACUCGGUGAAAUCAUAGUACCUGUGAAGAUGCAGGUUACCCGCGACAGGACGGAAAGACCCCGUGGAGCUUUACUGUAGCCUGAUAUUGAAAUUCGGCACAGCUUGUACAGGAUAGGUAGGAGCCUUUGAAACGUGAGCGCUAGCUUACGUGGAGGCGCUGGUGGGAUACUACCCUAGCUGUGUUGGCUUUCUAACCCGCACCACUUAUCGUGGUGGGAGACAGUGUCAGGCGGGCAGUUUGACUGGGGCGGUCGCCUCCUAAAAGGUAACGGAGGCGCUCAAAGGUUCCCUCAGAAUGGUUGGAAAUCAUUCAUAGAGUGUAAAGGCAUAAGGGAGCUUGACUGCGAGACCUACAAGUCGAGCAGGGUCGAAAGACGGACUUAGUGAUCCGGUGGUUCCGCAUGGAAGGGCCAUCGCUCAACGGAUAAAAGCUACCCCGGGGAUAACAGGCUUAUCUCCCCCAAGAGUUCACAUCGACGGGGAGGUUUGGCACCUCGAUGUCGGCUCAUCGCAUCCUGGGGCUGUAGUCGGUCCCAAGGGUUGGGCUGUUCGCCCAUUAAAGCGGUACGCGAGCUGGGUUCAGAACGUCGUGAGACAGUUCGGUCCCUAUCCGUCGUGGGCGUAGGAAAUUUGAGAGGAGCUGUCCUUAGUACGAGAGGACCGGGAUGGACAUACCUCUGGUGUACCAGUUGUCGUGCCAACGGCAUAGCUGGGUAGCUAUGUGUGGACGGGAUAAGUGCUGAAAGCAUCUAAGCAUGAAGCCCCCCUCAAGAUGAGAUUUCCCAACUUCGGUUAUAAGAUCCCUCAAAGAUGAUGAGGUUAAUAGGUUCGAGGUGGAAGCAUGGUGACAUGUGGAGCUGACGAAUACUAAUCGAUCGAAGACUUAAUCAA